UCAAAACAAUGCCCAACCUUUGACAUUGUCUACAUCAUGACCUCCUCAUGUACAAAGACGGUUCCGGGAAAGCGCUUUCCUUGUGCUCCCCCAUAUUCCUGCCCGCCUCCGUUUACAUCAAGUUCUCAGGGGCACUUUAGUUUACAUGUAGUUCUCAUGUACUCUGUCCCCUUAGAUCCCCAGGAGACCUUGUUUGAUAGGCAAGGUGAGCAUGAUCGGUCCAUGUUAUAAAUGAGAUGGAUUUAGAACCAAAGUGCCUUGCUCGCAAUCAAACCGUUGAUAACAAACUCAGGACCAGAAACUGUAGUUUCUAAUGUUUGUUCACGCAGGUUUCCUUCUAUCCCUCUGCAUAAACCUCUCUUAAAGGCAUUCUUCUGGGGGAAAAAAAAAAUUUUUUUUUUCUCCAAAGACAUUUUUAAUGAGAUUUUGCUUUCAUGGCAGAUGGCAUUUAGAGCCGCUGAUGAAUCUCCACAUUAACCAGAGAAAUGAGGCUGAUACUGCACACACAGACACAAAAAGACAGAAGACGACUUCUCCGUGUUCUUUUAGAAACUUGUCCUGGGGGUUAUCCUGGCAUAUGUGGCCAGCACCUGGGACACUUUGUGACCUCAUAGAAUGAGAGGAGAGAUCUGGCAUUCAUUCAACAACAAAUAUUUCUUUAGAUAACUGUAGUCCAGGCACAGGUCUAGGGGCUGAGUCCCCAGUGGUGAAUAAGAGCAGGUUAGCUCCUGUUCUCGUGGCGUAUGUAUGACAUUUAGGGAGAAGGCGAGUGAGCCAUCCAAUAAGCAGAUGGGCGAGUUCAGACAGUGGUGAAUCCUAGGACGGAGAGGAAACAGGGCAGUAGGACAGUGAGUGCUGGAAAGGCAGGCUGGUCUGUGAGGGCUUCUCCGAGGAGGGCCUGUUUCUCUGAAUGCUGAUUUGCGUAAUGGGGCGGGUUGGCGAGAAUAUUCUAGGCAGAGGGCAGAGUGAGCACAAGUCCAGGAGAUGGUGAAGAGCCCGCUGUGUGCAGGAAGCUGCUAGCAGGAGAUGCUUCACGCAGCGUUCGUAGGAUGUCACUGUCCCAUCGAUUCUCGAAGAUGCGCCCUCUUCCCUUCCACAGACUUCUGAGGCCUCCUUCGAUGCAGCGUGAAGGGCCCAGAAGUGAGCUGGCCGUGACUGUCCGAGUCAGAAGGUGUUCCCGGAUCACUGAGGUGCCAAGACCAGACGAAAGGCUUCUGCGCUCACCAAGAAUGCAGGGCACGUCCUGUUCACCGCUGGGGAGUGCCCGCUUCGGUGACGAGAACAGCCCAGCAGGAAUUCCAGACAUCCCCCUAACCAGGGCUGACUGAGUCUGAGUCUGGCCAGGCAGGAAGGAAUGUCUUGGCUCAAGAAGGGAAGCGGUCAGAACGCUGGGUCGAGCCCAGUUUUCUGUGGGGGAUGGGGCGUCCUGGCCACUGGACCAAAGCAGUGUUUAUACUCUGGAAGCCAGGAGGAGGUUUCUACCGUGUGUUUGCUUUUCUUCAGCUCAGACGUGGAGGAGAGCCAGGACAGGGUCCACUUUGAAUGGCGCUGCACAUGCAUCUGACUCGAUUGGCUCAUAAUGCUCUAUAUCGGCCCGGGGAGACGCGUUCCCCACCCUCACCGGCGUGCAGAAGGAAAAGGACACGUUUAACAAGCUGCCAGGCCUUUAGAACUAAAAUGGAAUACAAAAACGGGUAUGAAAGGAAGACAAAAAUAAAUAAGUAAAAGACACUGUUUUCCGUUCUCUGACUUGGGCUCAGCCUCGACCCGGAAGUGAAGAUCGUUCUAGAAAGAUCAGGCCUAGCCAUGAGCCCGGUGCACUGUUAGGGCCAACUAGAGGCGAUCGUCGUGAAGAAGGGCUUGCGUCUCUCGGUCUGCCCUUGCUCUCGCAGCCCCUGCGGCACGGCGGAGGGCAAGACGGUGGAUGGCGAGUGUCUGAGCAUUUGCCGUCCGUUUUCUGUUUUUCGAGAGGCUGCUGUGGGGGAGGGGCUGGUUCAGCAGAAGGUCGGGCUGUGGCCGUGUCUCCUGGAGGCCAGGGAGAGGGCAGGGUAAUGGGCAGCUUAACAGAGCACGAGCAAUGGACAGGUUAACCCUGGGGCACUGUGUGAGCAGCGAGAGGGUCUCUGGCCAGGACUCAGGGGUCCGAGGAGGCUUCCUCCGGGAGUGCAGGAAAAGCGGAGGAAGGAAAAAGGGGUAUGUUGGGGAGAGGACCCCCUGCUCCCUGAGACUCAUCCCAUCCCUGAAGAGUAGCUGCCGUUUAGGAUAGACGCUCUGCUCCGUGCUCGUGUUCUCCGCUUCGGGCCCUGCUCCCCUUGGCCGGGCUCCUUGGCGCUGAGCCUGGUGAAAGUUAAUGGUAAGAUAAUGACCUCGGGCUUCCCACUUGCCCUCAGGCCUGUCGCAGACACUUAGCUCCUGCAGCCAAGACCUUGGGGUACCUCUGACAGACCCGUUUAAUUCCCCUGAGGUCAUUGUUGCUGCUGGUGUUUUUGGUCACCCCUCCCUCUUCUGUCCCCCCAUACCUGGGUCACGUUUUAUGGAGCAUUUCCAGAAAUGCUUUCUUUCUAGCCAGAGAAUUGCUGAGACCCAUGGGUCCUGGAGUGGCGUUGGUCUUGGGGCCGUUUGGAAUUUGGCUUUGCUGAGCACAGAAGCUGGUGUGCCCGUGGCCUCCGUCAGCAUCCUGAGAUCAGCGUCUCCCAGCCCAAUGCAGCAGAAAUCUUUCUUCUUCACCUUUGCUGCCACGAUGUCACUCCUUCCUUCUCCGCAGCUCUUGAGAGACGACAAGAGAGCAUAUUGUGGAUUCUGUACGGUACGCGCUCUCGCAUGAGCCCUGUAAAACCUUUGUUACUCUACUUCCCCACCUGUAAAGUGGGGCCAUUUCACAUGUUUUUGUAGAGCCAAAGUGCAAUAACGAGCUCAGGUGGUUGCCCUGUGCCCAGGAAACGUGUAAUCAGUGUAGGGGGAGCAGGGGGACUGUUAUUGUAAUUGUCACCUUUAGGGGCACCUGAGUGAUUCCAUUCAUGAAGUUGAAUGGUCUUGAUUUCGGCUCAGGUCAUGAUCUGAGGUUCGUGGGGU